GUUGUGCCAGGAUUGCAUUGGGUGUGAACUUCCGCCAACCCAGACGCAAUCAGGGCAAAGAACUUGGUGCUCUGUGUCCUUACUGCUGUCCACUUAGCUGUUCUUACAGAUUAUUGGUCGUCUUCGAGCACAUUUAGGCGGCAGUUCGUGCCGUGUCGCGGCCAUUUUGGGUUCAGUUGGCCCUCACUCUUGUUUCACAGCUGUAACCCAAGGCAAGCUACAACUUAACUCUGAAUCCCUGACGUCAUUUCCUGUCCAGCUGCUGCACCGCUCCCCUAGGGAACACAUUUAUAGCAACACAAGUCUUGUUUAGUCUUAGAAGUGCCUUAUGUACUGACUUUAUAUGAACUAUAUUCGAUGAUAUGAGUGUAAAGGUGACUAUAGGGGUGUUACUUCAAGUUUAUGGGGCUCUAAUAAUGUUAAAAACAGCCAUAUAUUUGUAUAUGUCACUCCAGAAAUAUUCAAUUUAUAAAUUAGGAAUCAUAUUUUGUGGAAAUUCACUAUCACAGUCGGCUUUGGAACUAAUUAAUCACAAUAAAUGAGGAACUAGUGUAUAUUUUAAAUGUUUUGAUAACAAUUUUGGGUUUAACUGUAGCUUUUAACACCAUAUGAUACAACUGUAUUACUGAAAAUGUUUUUAAUUUGGAAAACAAAGGUCAUUCAUUGCCUUUAAUGUCAUUUACAUUUUUCCUGAUUGAUCUAAUAUAAAAUGUAUUUUAGAGAAGCUAUAAAG